ensembl:snRNA U2 U2 spliceosomal RNA
AUCACUUCUUGGCCUUUUGGCUAAGAUCAAGUGUGAUAUCUGUCUUCUCCAAUAGAUGGAGAUUCAGUGGGAUAGAAGGAGGGAUUAGGGCAGGGGAUGCUUUCUUUGUCCCCACCAUUU